ACGAACGCUGGCGGCGUGCCUAAUACAUGCAAGUCGAACGCUUCUUUUUCCAUCGGAGCUUGCUCCACCGGAAAAAGAGGAGUGGCGAACGGGUGAGUAACACGUGGGUAACCUGCCCAUCAGAAGGGGAUAACACUUGGAAACAGGUGCUAAUACCGUAUAACAAUCGAAACCGCAUGGUUUUGAUUUGAAAGGCGCUUUCGGGUGUCGCUGAUGGAUGGACCCGCGGUGCAUUAGCUAGUUGGUGAGGUAACGGCUCACCAAGGCGACGAUGCAUAGCCGACCUGAGAGGGUGAUCGGCCACAUUGGGACUGAGACACGGCCCAAACUCCUACGGGAGGCAGCAGUAGGGAAUCUUCGGCAAUGGACGAAAGUCUGACCGAGCAACGCCGCGUGAGUGAAGAAGGUUUUCGGAUCGUAAAACUCUGUUGUUAGAGAAGAACAAGGAUGAGAGUAACUGUUCAUCCCUUGACGGUAUCUAACCAGAAAGCCACGGCUAACUACGUGCCAGCAGCCGCGGUAAUACGUAGGUGGCAAGCGUUGUCCGGAUUUAUUGGGCGUAAAGCGAGCGCAGGCGGUUUCUUAAGUCUGAUGUGAAAGCCCCCGGCUCAACCGGGGAGGGACAUUGGAAACUGGGAGACUUGAGUGCAGAAGAGGAGAGUGGAAUUCCAUGUGUAGCGGUGAAAUGCGUAGAUAUAUGGAGGAACACCAGUGGCGAAGGCGGCUCUCUGGUCUGUAACUGACGCUGAGGCUCGAAAGCGUGGGGAGCAAACAGGAUUAGAUACCCUGGUAGUCCACGCCGUAAACGAUGAGUGCUAAGUGUUGGAGGGUUUCCGCCCUUCAGUGCUGCAGCUAACGCAUUAAGCACUCCGCCUGGGGAGUACGACCGCAAGGUUGAAACUCAAAGGAAUUGACGGGGGCCCGCACAAGCGGUGGAGCAUGUGGUUUAAUUCGAAGCAACGCGAAGAACCUUACCAGGUCUUGACAUCCUUUGACCACUCUAGAGAUAGAGCUUCCCCUUCGGGGGCAAAGUGACAGGUGGUGCAUGGUUGUCGUCAGCUCGUGUCGUGAGAUGUUGGGUUAAGUCCCGCAACGAGCGCAACCCUUAUUGUUAGUUGCCAUCAUUUAGUUGGGCACUCUAGCAAGACUGCCGGUGACAAACCGGAGGAAGGUGGGGAUGACGUCAAAUCAUCAUGCCCCUUAUGACCUGGGCUACACACGUGCUACAAUGGGAAGUACAACGAGUCGCAAAGUCGCGAGGCUAAGCUAAUCUCUUAAAGCUUCUCUCAGUUCGGAUUGUAGGCUGCAACUCGCCUACAUGAAGCCGGAAUCGCUAGUAAUCGCGGAUCAGCACGCCGCGGUGAAUACGUUCCCGGGCCUUGUACACACCGCCCGUCACACCACGAGAGUUUGUAACACCCGAAGUCGGUGAGGUAACCUUUUGGAGCCAGCCGCCUAAGGUGGGAUAGAUGAUUGGGGUG
rnacentral:rRNA from 1 species